CCGCCCCCAAGUCAACACGGACUUCCCUCCCUGCGCGCCAGAACUUUGCGUUGUUCUUAGUGGCAUCUGGGGUCGAGGAGGGCGACUGUCAGCCAGUUGGGGGAUGUUUUCUUCUUGGUCUCUCGGCUUCUGCUUCCCUGUGAGCUGGGCAGCCUCAGCCCAGGUCCUAUCCGGUACUCAGCUGGCCUCGGUGUGCACAGCGCAGGCUUGAGUGCAGCCGUGGGGGCGGGCGGGGCAGAAGCAGGGCCCCUGGGAACAGCUGAGUCUGAAGGGUCAGAAGCCACGGCCCCUGUGGGGGGCUCUGGGGCAGCCAGGGGAGCUGCUCGUUAGUCGUCUCUGGGGCAGAAGGAAGGGACCUUCACCUGGGUUGGGACUGGGCCUGGGUCCCCAGUCUCACAGGGAGCUCGUCCUGAUUGUACCUGCCCGGCUGUGACGGCUGAGCCCGGGCUCCUGGAGGCAAGGCCACCUCAGGCCUCCAGGGCCGGAGCCGCAAGGAGCUGCUGGGUUUCCACAGGGCCACGGGGGCUGCGGCCACACGGAGCGGGAGCACAGGCCACCAGGCCCUCGGGUUCCAAGAUGCAGCUACUGGAGACAGAGUUCUCGCACACCGUGGGCGAGCUCAUCGAGGUGCACCUGCGGCGCCAGGACAGCAUCCCUGCCUUCCUCAGCUCGCUCACCCUCGAGCUCUUCAGCCUCCAGACCGUGGCGUAGCCUGCGCCUCGGGGGCAUAGCCAGAGCCACUCUACUUGGCCUGACCUGCAGGUCCCUUGCCCCGCCAGCCACAGGCUGGGUGCACGUCCUGCCUCUCCAGCUCCACAGGGCAGCGGCAUGACUGACAGACACGCUGGGACCUACGUCGGGCUUCCUGCUGGGGCGGCCAGCACCCUCCCCACGUGCAGACCCCAUGCGUCCCGGAGCCUGGUGUGUGGGCGUCGGCCACCAGCCCGGGCUCCUCACCUUGUGAAAUAAAAUCUUCUCCCCUAGACACUCCCACUCGCCCUGUGUAUCUGUGGCCUAGCCCUAGCAGGGUAGGCGGGAGGAGGGGAAGGAGCUCCCUCAGCAGCCGCCGCCAUCUGCAGACCGGACAACGUUAGGGUGAGUCAGGCAUUUCCGCUCAGGGAGUGCACAGGUGGCAGCUGGGACCAAGGGUGGCUGGGGUGCCCCCCCACCACCAUGGGCUGAGGCCCCUCCGCGUAGCAGCUUCCAGCUCUGCCUCAAGGCCGGGCCCCAGCUCUGGGGCUUCCCUUUGCUGAUGGAACCCGGAUGGAGGCACAGGGGCUGGGGGGACUGUCCUCACAGAUAAGGGUGCAUCGAGGAGAGACUGCCCUCUGUGCCCAUCUCUCCAGGGCCAUAGAAAUACAUUCCAUAGACCUAAGCAGUAUUUGAAUUUUUAUAACAAUAGCAUAUGUGUUUCUUAUGUGAUUUACUAGAAACAAUUUAAUUUCUCGAGUUGUAAAAAGGUGUAUUUUAAACCUGUGUAAAGGUACCUGGAGAUCAUUGUCAUUCAGAAUAACAAAAUAAAACAGCAAUAUAAAAACACAGAUAUUAUCAUAGUACAAUGUUAAAUACUAUAAUAUUCAAGAUGAUAUUAAAAUUACAUAUAUCUACAUCUAUAUGCAUAUAAGGAUGUCAAUAAAUGAUAUUAAUGUC
rnacentral:lncRNA from 1 species